CAAUAGCGUAUAUUAAAGUUGUUGCAGUUAAAAAGCUCGUAGUUGGAUUUCUGGUUUGUGUCCCGGGUCGGCCCGAAAUGGGUCUGUACUAGGAGACGCAAGCCAUCCUUGCGGCGAGGCGUUCUGCCAUUUAUUUGGUGGUUCGUUGAGCCGCAUCGUUUACUGUGAACAAAUUAGAGUGUUUAAAGCAGGCAUAUGCCUUGAAUACAUUAGCAUGGAAUAAUAAGAUAGGACUUCGGUAAUAUUUUGUUGGUUCAUUAUUGAGGUAAUGAUUAAUAGGGAUAGUUGGGGGUAUUCAUAUUCAAUUGUCAGAGGUGAAAUUCUUGGAUUUAUGGAAGAUGAACAACUGCGAAAGCAUUUACCAAGGAUGUUUUCAUUAAUCAAGAACGAAAGUUAGGGGAUCGAAGACGAUUAGAUACCAU
rnacentral:rRNA from 1 species